ACAUUGAUUUGGCUGUGAUUGGUUUUUCAUCUAUAUUAUGACUCAGUUAUUAAGAGAAAAUUGAAGAUGAGUGGAGGAUGCAACCUUAAUUUGAUAAAACAUUUGUAGCAUAUUUAAGUAUUUACAUUAUUUUAUUGAUGGCGAAAUGGCAAUCAUACUGUUACUGUGGACAUGAGUGUAUUAUCAUACAAUUCUUCAUUUACCAAGUUUGACAGCCACUACUGGAAAGUAUCGUUCCUUAUAAAAUGUUUGUUCAGUAUUAAUAUUGUUUAAAUGCUAUAGGUCAAAUAUUAACAUUUCUUGUGAUUUGGCUGAAAAUAUUGGUUUUUACUUUUGAUGUUAUUGUGGACAUACCUUAACAAAUGGAAAAAAAAUAUAGAAGAUGAAGAAGAGUACCACUUUGUCAAGUUGUCGUAAAAAAAAAAAUAUUAACAAAGAGUAUGUAAACUAUUUUUGCCACAGAUCAUUUGGACCAAGAACUUCAAACAAAGGACACAAAUGUACAAAAAGUGGUGGAUCCGUGAAAACUGGCCAUGUUUGCCCUUCUAACAUGAAAGUACACAUAGAAAAUAAACAAAUUAAUGUACAAUAUUAUAGUACACACUUAUGGCAUACGAAGGAUAUAGGAAAACUAAGAUUGUUCAAUGAAGAUAGGAGUAAG